GCAAUGGUGGUUCAGUGGUAGAAUUCUCCCCAUCCAUGUGGGAAACACAGGUUCAAUUCCUGACCAAUGCA
rnacentral:tRNA from 1 species